UACCGGACCUAGCGGCGGACGGGUGAGUAAUGCUUAGGAAUCUGCCUAUUAGUGGGGGACAACAUCUCGAAAGGGAUGCUAAUACCGCAUACGUCCUACGGGAGAAAGCAGGGGAUCUUCGGACCUUGCGCUAAUAGAUGAGCCUAAGUCGGAUUAGCUAGUUGGUGGGGUAAAGGCCUACCAAGGCGACGAUCUGUAGCGGGUCUGAGAGGAUGAUCCGCCACACUGGGACUGAGACACGGCCCAGACUCCUACGGGAGGCAGCAGUGGGGAAUAUUGGACAAUGGGGGGAACCCUGAUCCAGCCAUGCCGCGUGUGUGAAGAAGGCCUUAUGGUUGUAAAGCACUUUAAGCGAGGAGGAGGCUACUCUAGUUAAUACCUGGGGAUAGUGGACGUUACUCGCAGAAUAAGCACCGGCUAACUCUGUGCCAGCAGCCGCGGUAAUACAGAGGGUGCGAGCGUUAAUCGGAUUUACUGGGCGUAAAGCGUGCGUAGGCGGCUUAUUAAGUCGGAUGUGAAAUCCCCGAGCUUAACUUGGGAAUUGCAUUCGAUACUGGUGAGCUAGAGUAUGGGAGAGGAUGGUAGAAUUCCAGGUGUAGCGGUGAAAUGCGUAGAGAUCUGGAGGAAUACCGAUGGCGAAGGCAGCCAUCUGGCCUAAUACUGACGCUGAGGUACGAAAGCAUGGGGAGCAAACAGGAUUAGAUACCCUGGUAGUCCAUGCCGUAAACGAUGUCUACUAGCCGUUGGGGCCUUUGAGGCUUUAGUGGCGCAGCUAACGCGAUAAGUAGACCGCCUGGGGAGUACGGUCGCA
rnacentral:rRNA from 1 species